GACGAACGCUGGCGGCGUGCCUAAUACAUGCAAGUAGAACGCACAGUUCAUACCGUAGCUUGCUACAACAUAGACUGUGAGUUGCGAACGGGUGAGUAACGCGUCGGUAACCUGCCUGGUAGCGGGGGAUAACUAUUGGAAACGAUCGCUAAUACCGCAUAAUAUUAAUUAUUGCAUGAUAAUUAAUUGAAAGGUGCACUUGCACCACUACCAGAUGGACCUGCGGUGUAUUAGCAAGUAGGUGAGGUAACGGCUGACCCAGGCGAUGAUACAUAGCCGAACGGGGAGGGUGAGGGACGACACUGGGACUGGGACAGGGCCCAGACCCCUACGGGAAGCAGCAGUAGGGGAUAUGCGGCAAGAGACGAAAGUGUGACCGAGAAACGCCGAAGGAGUGAGGAGGGUGUUCGGAUCAUAGAGCUUUGUUGGAAUAGAAGAGCGAGUGUGGGAGGGGAAAGGUCACUCUGUGACGGUAUCUUACCAAUAAGGAACGGCUAACUACGUG
rnacentral:rRNA from 1 species